AAUCAACGCUGGCGGCGUGCCUCAGACAUGCAAGUCGAACGAUUAAAGCUCUCUUCGGAGAGUGUAUAGAGUGGCGCACGGGUGAGUAACACGUAAGUAAUCUACCUUUGAGUGGGGAAUAACAGUCGGAAACGACUGCUAAUACCGCAUAAUGCAGCGGCACCGCAAGGUGACAGUUGUUAAAGGAGCAAUUCGCUUAAAGAGGAGCUUGCGGCAGAUAGCUUGUUGGUAAGGUAACGGCUUACCAAGGCUACGAUCUGUAUCCGGUCUUAGAGGACGGUCGGACACACUGACACUGAAUAACGGGUCAGACUCCUACGGGAGGCAGCAGUCGGGAA
rnacentral:rRNA from 1 species